rnacentral:rRNA from 1 species
UACGGAGGGGGCUAGCGUUGUUCGGAAUUACUGGGCGUAAAGCGCACGUAGGCGGCUUUGUAAGUUAGAGGUGAAAGCCCGGGGCUCAACUCCGGAAUUGCCUUUAAGACUGCAUCGCUAGAAUUGUGGAGAGGUAAGUGGAAUUCCGAGUGUAGAGGUGAAAUUCGUAGAUAUCGGGAGGAACACCAGUGGCGAAGGCGGCGAUCUGGGUCGAUACUGACGCUGAGGUGCGAAAGCGUGGGGAGCAAACAGG